GUGAACGCGAGAAUUUUAACCCUUGAAAUGAAUUGGCGAACUUGAACAAAGCAUUUGUGUCUGGAUCUGUUAGUGAACGCAAGAAUUUUAACCCUUGAAAUGAAUUGGCGGGAUGGAAAAACCUUCUAUAUUAUGAGACUAUUGAUGUGGCAUUUUCUUCAUAUGGAAGGGACUGAUAAAUGUAUGU